AAUAAAAUGCACUGUUUGUAAUAAUUACCAUAACUCUACAUAUUUUGUAAGAUAGAUAUAGAUUUAAUGAUAAAAGAAUGUUAUAUACAAAAAUAAUUUAUGUGAUUGCUUUAAUACUAUUCCUGCAAGAGAAAAAUAUUCAAAGGUCAGGUAUAGGAAAUAUGUAAUGUGUUUCGGGUGAUUAAAAUUUUUAACGUGAAAGAGAUCGGCAAACGGAAAAGAAAGACAGAUAGAAUGUUGAAUUGGUCGGCAAACAAGAAAGACUCGUGCGUGUUUUGUCUUUUGCAUUCAAAAAUCAAAAUUCUUUAUUUUUGGUUUUUCGUGAAUGAAACUUUGAUCAUCGUAUUCGUCUUGUUGUUCUAAUUAAAAUGAGACCAAACACGAUAUAAUUUGAAGCAUAAUUACUGGUUUAGAUUUGACGAUAAAAGUUUCUGACGUAGAGGAGGAUAGCGAGUGAAGAAGAAAGAGACACUGCGGUCGUGGCAGUCGGCAAAGAUCAAAAGUCUGUUCAAUUGUUUGCAAUGCUUAUGAGGAGAAAGGUGAUGGCCUUUAAAAACGUCGAGUUUGAUACGGCAAGAGGCAUGGUGACGCGCUCGUUGGGAGAGAAGGAGAUGGAUAGGAUAGGUGGAAUUGAGGAGAUAAUAGGAAACAGUGGGGACUUUCCGGCCCUAGGGGUAAAAGAAAAGAGAGAGUUUUGGGAAAAGAAGGAGGUUCCGAUUCAGAGGGAGUUGGAGAACAUUAGGCGUCUGAGGUAUGGCAAUGGAGGAGAAGGAAACAGAGGCAGAGGUCAGGGAGUACAGGGAAGACUCACUUUUAGUGAAGUAGCAAGAAGAGGUGGAGAAGAAGAAAGAAAUGAAGAGGAGGAGGUAAAUGGGGGUCAGGACAAAAAGGGGAGCGAAGAAUCGAGGGAGGUAAAUAGGAAAGAGAAAGGAGAAGAAGGGGGAUGGAAGAAGGUUAAGGAAGGUGUUAGGGCGCCUUUCUUCAACAGAAAGACGGAUCUGAUACUGUCAAAGAACAGAUACCUUUGCCUCGAGUGUAAAGAGAAGACGAAGAAGAAGAAGAAGAAGGAAGCAGAGAUGGAGGUAUUGGAGAAUAUACCAGUAUCAUAUUACCAAGGGGGGGAGGAACCCGAGGGAGAGGGCGAGUAUGAGACACCGAAUUUGACAGUGAAUGUGAAAGAAAUAGAGAAAGAGAAAGAGAGGACGGGAUGGCGACCAGAAAACAAGAAAUAGAUUGUGAAAAAGAGGAAAAAAGGGAGAGAGAAGAUUCAAGGGGAAGUAAGAAGAUGGAAGAUUUGGAACAGAAAUUGUGGAACGAAACAGAGAAUUGAAUUAAUAAUAUAAUAAGGGCAGAAGAGGAAAAAAAUGGAAGAGAGGGUGAGGAGUUGGCAAGGAGGAAGAAUGAGGAGAUGGAAAGGGGAGGAGAGGAAGAAGAAGAUGAAGAGCAAGGGGAAACAUGGUGGACAAAGUGUGGAGCAAGAAGGAGAAAAGGGGGAUAAAGUGGAAAAGAUGGGAGUGUGAGUGUGAGAGAAGUGUUGGGUGGGCGAACAGGGAAACCAAUAGAGAAGUAGAAUAUGUAGGGAAAAAUGAAUAUACAAGGGAAUCGAUAAGUGCGAAGGAAAGGAUAAAAGGCAAGAAAGAGGAAAGAGGUGCAGAUGGUAGAGCGUUAAAAGAAAAAAGACUGAAAGGAACAAUAUUGGUUCUAGAUAUAAGAAUACUUUAUAUUUUUGAUAUUUUUGAUAUUUUGUCCUAUAAUUAUAGCUAUAGUUAAGCUUAGAAUAGGUGUGAGUAAUUUAGAUCUAAGGUUUGUGCCUUUUGAACACUUAAAAAAAGGAGUGGUGGAUAAACUCAAAUUAGAGUGUGCGACAAAGUAUAUGUUCCUAGUACUUCAGUAUUAUAAAGGGAAAAAAGUAAAUAUAUUUAGAUAUAGGGAAAACAAGUGCCUGAUAAGAAACCAAAGGAAGGGAGAGAAGAAGGAGGAAAGUUUUCACUUUUUGUUGGACUGUAUAGAUAAUGCUGUGAUGAACUCUUUCUUUUACAUAGUCUAUAUGUUUUGUAUUUCUUUUCUAGAUAAGAUAUCUUCGUUUGUGUUUUCGUUUUUAUUUUUGUUUUUGGUUUUGUUCUAUGAGUUAAAAUGUAAUACAAUCAAAGAAAAGAGGUAUUAUUUGAAAAAUGUUAAAGAUUUUAGAGGAGGAGGAGACACGGCUACGCUCGAAGGGAGAGAGAAGAGAGAGGUGAAGAGCGAUGGACUGUAUGAGAGAGGAAUUGGUGGAGAGAGGUGUGGGCCAUGGAAUUCGGGUAAUGUCGGAAUUAAAAGGAAUAAUGGAAAGGAAAAUAUGAGAGGAGUAAGAGGAGUGAAGAAGUGGGGUAAAAGUAGUCACAAAUGUAACAAACGGGAUAUGCAUAGUUAUGAAUAUAGACGUAGAAUGAGAGUGGAAGUAGGAAGAGCGAAGAGCGUAGACCGAGUACAAGCGUAUAACAUAGCUGGUGCUGCGGUACAAUGAUAUGUGGGGACUGAGGUUCGUGAAGGAGAGCCCGGUGUAAUAAAUAAUGCACGACGACGUUUUCUUGCUAUUUGCAAGGAUUGCACUUUUUAUUAAUACGCGCACGUGUAGACUCUUUCGCUUUCGUACAAGAAGUGGAAGAACGACGUUCUUCUUUUUCGCGCCGCGUUCUUUAUAAACUAGUCUUACCAACUACUAUUUACAGCUUAACCUAAGAAAUAAAAAGUAACUAAAAAUAGGAACUGUCCAGAGGGCGCAUGUGUCGCUGUCGGUACAGUCGCCACAGAUAUAAUGUAAGACUGAUGUAUUAAAGGCGGAAUGAGCCAGCUAGGCCAAAACGCCAUCCUCUACGGAAGUAAAUAAAAACCUAAAUCUUUUCCCGGGUAUUGACGUUAUCCGUUUUACAAGUGACAGUGACAUCAUCAUUUGGCAUUAAUUACAUCUUUAUUUUGAUAUGAAGCAUUUGUGAUAUAGUGAUUUACAAGCUUAUGGAUGUAUUUAAAGGCUUGAUAAAAGUAUGUCAAAUAAAUAGGAACAAUGAAAUAUACAAAGAAACUUCCUAUAGCACUUAUUAGAGCAAACAACAAAAAUGUGGGACCUUCACUGAUUGCAUCUUUUA